rnacentral:rRNA from 1 species
AUUGAACGCUGGCGGCAGGCCUAACACAUGCACGUCGAGCGAGCGGAGGGGGGGUGCGUAAUGUAUGGGGACUGCCGGAUAGCGAGGGAUAACUACUGGAAACGGUAGAUAAUACCGCAUACAAUCGGAUAAGCCAUAUGGGAUGAGCUAGUAGGUGAGGUAAUUGCUCACGUGGGGGACGAUCACUAGCUGGUUGGAGAGGAUGAUCAGCCACACGGGGACUGAGACACGGCCCAGACUCCGACGGAGGCAGCAGUGGGUAAUAUGGGACAAUGGGCGAAAGCCUGAUGCAGCCAUGCCGCGUGUAUGAAGAAGGCCCUAGGGUUGUAAAGUACUUUCAGUCGGGAGGCGUUACCGACAGAAGAAGCACCGGCUAACUCCGUGCCAGCAGCCGCGGUAAUUC